rnacentral:lncRNA from 1 species
UGUCAUUGAUUGCAUGAACUUGGAAAUGAUAGAGGCAUUAGGUUUACCACUAUGGCCCAAAUAACCAUGUUUCCCAAAGAAAAAUGAUAUCAUUAGUUUGCCAAUUUGAGCCGUGUUUGUUGAACCUUUUAUUUCUUAUCACCAGAUAUGUCUACCCUUAUACCUGAAACAUUUUUCCUUACCCUUUCCAAGCAAGCUAGUGAACAAUGUGAAAUUGUCUUAUGAGAAACGUUUGUGCAGUACUUUGAAGGUGUUUGGCAAAAGAAUAAGUGUGGGGGUAUUUCAUGUUUGUAUUUAAAAAAAAAAAAAAAAAAAAAAAAAAAAAAAGAAAAGAGAAGAAAAAGAAAGAUUGUAUACAAAUGAAAUAAAAGUUUUUAAAGUUUCAGUUUAAGGGUGUGGUUGGAGGUGUUAGAAGAAUUGUUGGAGAGCUUGAGUUCUUAUAAAUCUAAACAAAAGAACUGCUUGUAGCUUGGAACUUGUGUUUACCUAUUCUUUCAUUUCAAUAACCCUCUCCUUAAACCUCAUUACGUCCAAUAAAAGUCCUCUUGAUUUAAGUUUUGCAAUUAUGAUUGUGGAGAUGAGAUCUUUAUGCAAGCUUAUGGUAGAAAUUUCACAUUUGAUUCUUUGAGCGAAACACAUUAAAACUAAACACAUAUGUGAUUGAGUGUAUAUCCCGUGAGAAGGUUACUAGUUUGCAUAUGAUGAUUUUAAAAAUAAAAACUUGAAAUUGCAUUAGCAUGGCUAUCUGACACACUACACUUCAAGGAUGAUUCAAAGAUUACUGCUAAUAUUUGAAUAAGGAAUAUAAACUUGGAUUAGUUUCUUGAUGCUAGCUAUGGUUCUUGAUGAUUUGUUUUCUUAAAUGAAAUUCAUGAGGGUCACAUAGGGGGAAGCUAAUGUUUUUCUUGUUACUUCUUGUUCUUGUUUUCUUUGUUUUGCUCGAGGACUAGCAAAAGUUAAGUGUGGGGGUAUUUGAUCGGAUCAUAUUUAUAUAUAUUUUUACUUUAAAUUCACUCGUCUUUUCUUAGUUAGUUCCUUACAUUUUUGAGCUAUUUACGUUAUUUUUGUGUUUAUAGGAUUUGUUAUGCAAAGAAAAUAAAAAUAGCACAAAUGAGUUUUAAAUAAUAAAUUCGUCAAAAAUUGCUUUAGUCCUCAUUCUGUCAUGGAUUAUUGGUAGAAUUAUGUCACGGCAUAAAACAAAAAGAAAUGGGGAGAGUCGGUCAAAGAGGGAGCAAGAGAGCAUCAUGAUUUAUAUUUUUUUUACCUCGUUGACUCCCAUAUUCUUCAUUUCUGAAAACAACAGGAAGUUGCUUUGCAGCUGGAAAGAAAGGAAUCCAAGGUGGAAAAGUGAGGACGUGCAGCAGGGGGCCAGCGAAGGAAAGAGAGCUGCUUUGCAGCUGGGGGAAUAAUUUUAGAAAGAAGAAAGAAAAAGGUUGCCUUGGCAGCUGGAAAGAAUAAGAAUAAAAACAGCUGCCCUUGGCAGCUGGGAGAGGAGACAGAGAAGAGUGGAAAUCCGUGAGGAGAGGGGGGGGAGCUGCCUUUGGGCAGCUCGCAGACAGACGCAGCGGAACAGAAAAAUAAUUGUGGGAGAGAAGAGACUGACGUGGGCGCAAGAAGGGAGCACGGGAAGGAAAGAAGACAGUACGGGGAGAGAGGAAAGGCGUGGAGACAGAGAAGACUGAAGGCGCAGAAAUAAGAAGAAAAGAAGGGAGGUCAGCACGAAGGAAGGUCACGGACGUGAAAAGGGAAGGCAGCCCUUGCUGCCAGAAAAAAAAAAGGAAAUAAAAAAAUAGAAGAGAGAGGAGAGACAGCAGCGUGAGAGAGUGAGGGAGCUGCCCUUUUGGGCAGCGUAAAGACAGACAGAAAAUAGAAAAUAACAGACAAGGAGAGUCCAGAGGAAAGCUGCCAUUUGGCAACUUGAGCAGGGGGAGAGCAGAAACCUGCUUUUGGGCUGGCGUGAUUAAGGGCAGCGAGGAAAGCAGAAACCGAAGGUGAGGACAGCAGAGAAAGGUGAGGACAGCAGGGGAAGUGAGGACAUGCGGAGAGAUCAAGAGAAGACAGGGAGGACGCCAGUGAAGAAAGCAGCAAUCUGCCCUCUCUCUCGGUUUAAACUUUUCAAACUUCUAUUUUAUUUCUGUUUAAUAAUGUGUAAUUAAUUUUAUUUUGGCUAGAGGUUAAUUCGAAACCAUGAAUAUAUUUGUAAUAUGAAUUGAUUACCUUCGGUUGUGAUUUCAUAAGUUGUGUUUUCAAUU